AUGAUCGCCAAAGUCGACAAGUACCUUUCGGGUUGGCGGGCGCGCCUCUUCUCCCCUGCCGGGCGGCUCGUCCUCAUCAAUGUCGUCCUGGAUGCUCUUCCCACGUACGCUAUGGCGGCUAUGUUGCUCCCGCCGACGGUGAUCAAGGCCCUGGACUCGCUUCGCCACGCCUUCCUCUGGAACGCGGCUGAACGCGCCUCUGGCGCUCAAUGCCUGGUGGCAUGGGAGAGGGUCUGCCGAUCCAAGGCGGAGGGCGGCUUAGGGGUUCGCGACCUCGCGACGCAGAACCGCUGCCUGCUGAUCAAGAUGCUGCAUCGGCUCCAUGCCUGCUCCGCCUCGUCGCGGUGGGCGACGUGGGUUUGGGCCGAGCUCGCGGGGCGGUCCCUCCUCUCCGGAUCGGUCGCCCGGACGACCGGGGAGCACGGCAAGGCUCUCAGCAGUCUCCUUCCGCUCUACCGCGGACUUACGACGGUGGGGGUCCGAGACGGGAGGCGUACAUCCUUCUGGUUUGAUAACUGGCUCCCGUGUGGAGCUGUCGCGGCGGCCUUCCCCGCCCUUCUCUCGCACGCGACUGAACCGGAGGUCACGGUGUGGUGGGUGCACUCCCACGGACUGGACAGUGCGCUCGUGCCCAGGCUCACCACAGCCGGUGCGGCGGAGCGGGUCACCCUCCUGACGCUCAUGGACGGGGUCGUCCCGACCCCAGGAAAUGACGUGUGGAGCUCGGUGUUGUGCCCGGGUCCCCGGGAGGCAUUGCAGCAGCAGCUGUCUACGCUCUAG
rnacentral:rRNA from 1 species